GCCUCUGUAGCUCAGUUGGUUAGAGUGCUGCAACGGAAAUGCAGGGUCACACGUUCAAUUCCUGCCAGGGUCC